rnacentral:rRNA from 1 species
UGUCUCAGUACUUGCUUUUACAAGGCGAAACCGCGAAUGGCUCAUUAAAUCAGUUAUGGUUCACUAGAUCGUCAAUUUUACACGGAUAACUGUGGUAAUUCUAGAGCUAAUACGUGCAAAUAGCUCGCUUCCUUGCGGAGCGAGCGCAGUUAUUAGAUCAAAACCAAUCCGGCCUUCGGGUCGGUACAAUUGGUGACUCUGAAUAACCGAAGCGGAGCGCAUGGUCUCGUACCGGCGCCAGAUCUUUCAAGUGUCUGACUUAUCAGCUUGUUGUUAGGUUACGUUCCUAACAAGGCUUCAACGGGUAACGGGGUAUCAGGGUCCGAUACCGGAGAGGGAGCCUGAGAAACGGCUACCACAUCCAAGGAAGGCAGCAGGCGCGCAAAUUACCCACUCCUAGCACAGGGAGGUAGUGACGAAAAAUAACGAUGCGAGGGCUAUUAGCUUCUCGUAAUCGGAAUGGGUACACUUUAAAUCCUUUAACGAGGAUCUAUUGGAGGGCAAGUCUGGUGCCAGCAGCCGCGGUAAUUCCAGCUCCAAUAGCGUAUAUUAAAGUUGCUGCGGUUAAAAAGCUCGUAGUUGGAUCUGGGCUUCUGAAUGGAUGGUGCGCUUUUCGGUGCUACUGUUCGUUUGGUGCCACAAGCCGGCCAUGUCUUGCAUGCUCUUCACUGAGUGUGCAUGGCGACCGGAACGUUUACUUUGAAAAAAUUAGAGUGCUCAAAGCAGGCGUACGGCCUUGCAUAAUGGUGCAUGGAAUAAUGGAAUAGGACCUCGGUUCUAUUUUGUUGGUUUUCGGAACUCGAGGUAAUGAUUAAUAGGAACAGACGGGGGCAUUCGUAUUGCGGCGUUAGAGGUGAAAUUCUUGGAUCGUCGCAAG